AGGUUAUAAAAGACAUUGUUGCUUCCAGUCUGGUUGCUCUCUCUUUCUCUUGUCACUUGCUCCAGAGGAGUCCUGUUGCCAUGUCAUGAGCUGCUCUAUGAUGAAGUCUGCAUGGCAGUGAUCUGCAGCUUGCUGCCAACAGCAAUGUAAAUGAGCAUGGAGGUGGAUUCUCUAGCCCUUUAGAUGACUGCAGCUGGACGCAACCUUGUGCAACACCCUGAGACAGAACCACAAAACUAAGCCACUCCUGGAUCCCUGGAUCUCAGCCACUAUGUCAGGAGCUCGGAAUCAUGCUGGGAGAAGGACCUGUGGUGAUGACUUCAAGAUAGCCACAAAUCCUUCCUACUCCUUCCCUUGAAUUUGGGCUGUCCCUGUCACUAGCUAUGACCAAUAGAAUGUGAUGGAAGCAAUGUUGUGUAACUUAUGAGACUGAGUCUUAAGAGAACUGCAGCUUCUGCUUUUGGCACUCCUAAAAUGCUUCUUGUAAGGAGCAUUUUCCACUUUGUAAGAAGCCUGACUUUGUAAGGAGACCACCAUGCUAUGAGGAAGCCCAAGCUAGCCCCAUGGAGUGAGAGUGUGAGUGGAGCACCAAGGCACUGACCUGUGAUUGAAACCUUCCAGGGUCUUCCAUUUAGCUCUACUACUAGCUGAAUGCAGCUGAGUGGAUGACCUUAGCCUACGCCACGUGUAGCAGAACCACCCACAAAGCCUUGCCUAAAUUCUUGACCCAUAGAAUUGUGAGCAAAUAAAAUGGCUGUUGUUUUAA